CCUACGGGGGGCAGCAGUGAGGAAUAUUGGUCAAUGGGCGGAAGCCUGAACCAGCCAAGUCGCGUGAGGGAAUAAGGCCCUACGGGUCGUAAACCUCUUUUGCCGGGGAGCAAGGGCGGGGACGUGUCCCGGUCCGGAGAGUACCCGGAGAAAAGGCAUCGGCUAACUCCGUGCCAGCAGCCGCGGUAAUACGGAGGAUGCGAGCGUUAUCCGGAUUUAUUGGGUUUAAAGGGUGCGUAGGCGGGCUUUUAAGUCAGCGGUAAAAAUUCGGGGCUCAACCCCGUCCGGCCGUUGAAACUGGGGGCCUUGAGUGGGCGAGAAGAAGGCGGAAUGCGUGGUGUAGCGGUGAAAUGCAUAGAUAUCACGCAGAACCCCGAUUGCGAAGGCAGCCUUCCGGCGCCCUACUGACGCUGAGGCACGAAAGUGCGGGGAUCGAACAGGAUUAGAUACCCGAGUAGUC
rnacentral:rRNA from 1 species